rnacentral:rRNA from 1 species
UACGUAGGGGCCGAGCGUUGUCCGGAGUUAUUGGGCGUAAAGCGCGCGCAGGCGGCCUCGCGCGCCCGACGUGAAAGCCCCCGGCUUAACCGGGGAGGGUCGUUGGGGACGGCGGGGCUUGAGGGCGGGAGAGGGCGGUGGAAUUCCCGGUGUAGUGGUGAAAUGCGUAGAUAUCGGGAGGAACACCAGUGGCGAAGGCGACUACCUGGCCUGUUCUUGACGCUGAGGCGCGAAAGCUAGGGGAGCAAACGGG